GAAAAUUUAAAAAAGAAAAAAAAUUAUUUCCGAAGUUUUCGUUAUAUAAUCUUUGCAACAAUAAUGAUCAUGUAAAUAUAAGGCUUUGUUUUUAUUUUCAACAGGAAAGAUAACUUCUUUUUAAGUGACAGUAACGAAAACUCUGUCCCCUUCUCCACAAUAAUUAGAAGAUUGUGACUGCCUACAUUAUUUGAAGCGUGAAGAUUUUAUUAUUUCUAGCGUGACGGAUACAAACGUUUAAGUGAGAGAGAUUUUCCUACAUUAUUUGAAGCGUGAAGAUUUUAUUAUUUGAAGCGUGAAGUUUUUAUUAUUUGAAGCGUGAAGUUUUUAUUAUUUCAAGUGUGACGGAAAUCAAGCGUCGAUGCGAGAGAGAUCGUCUCCUGAAAAGGCCAUGUGCGCUGUUGCAAAUAUGAAUGUAAUUGUAAACAAAAUGAAGGACAGAAAAUCCAGCUAUAGGCUUUUUAAAAGCGAUUUUGUAUGUCUAUCUGCCACUGAUUGAAAGAAAAUUCAAGAUAGAAAAUGAAUCAGCUGAACAAUUAAUUCUGUCUGAAAGUGGUGCAAGAGAUACCUGAUGUUUCAUUUCAAAAGGAAGAAUUUGAUGGGUUUGGGAACCAUCAAUUUGAUGUCGAGAGUUUCAACUUAUCUGUGGUAGACUUUUAGCUAAUAUCAUAAAUUCAGAUCUAUGGACCAACAAAAUACAAGGUGAAGAUAAGUAAGGAAAACACAGCCUUGAUAAAUUUCAGAGAAUUCUUGAUGAAAGAGUAUGCAGACCUGGACCAAAAAUUUGCAAUAUGAAUAAUUUUGAAGAAAGAACAAUCUUGGCAAAUUUCAGAGAAUUCUAAACGGAAGAGUGCAAGUGUUGUUACUUGAACAAUAUGUACAUGAAAGUGCCCUUUGACAACAUCUGACAUUGGAUUUGUAGUGAUGCAUUUAAUGAACUGGGAUCUGCAUGAGUUAACAAACUUGAAUUUUGGCAUUUACAUUGAUUGCAUAUAUAAAAAUAUUCAAUGUAUAACGACCAUAUUUUGUACCAAAGUAAUGAAUGGUCCAAUAUUGUAUCAUGGUAGCAAUUUGAAGGUAUUAUUAAAUAAAAAUGCUUCAUUGCAGGAA